rnacentral:rRNA from 1 species
GACGUAGGAUGCAAGCGUUACUCGGAAUCACUGGGCGUAAAGCGUCUGUAGGCGGUCUGAUGCGUCUGAUGUGAAACCACAGGGCUCAACCCUGUCUCCGCAUUGGAAACGGUCAGACUCGAGAGACCUAGAGGUACCUGGAAUGCUGUGUGUAGGGGUAAAAUCCGUAGAUACACAGUAGAACGCUCAAAGCGAAAGCAGGGUACUGGGGGUUUUCUGACGCUGAGAGACGAAAGCGUGGGGAGCAAACCGGAUUAGAAACCCG